AACCCGGUGUUUUUCAACACCACCUUCAUUAAAUACCAGCUCGUA
rfam:Gonium pectorale scaffold00042, whole genome shotgun sequence.